ensembl:ncRNA C48D1.11 ncRNA
CUCUUCUUUCUAGUAUCCUACGUGGCCGCGAGAGAUGAAAACUCAGCCAUCAAUUUUUGUCACGCGGCCACGGAGCAAAUG